rnacentral:rRNA from 1 species
ACGAACGCUGGCGGCGUGCUUAACACAUGCAAGUCGAACGCUGAAGCUUGGUGCUUGCACUGGGUGGAUGAGUGGCGAACGGGUGAGUAAUACGUGAGUAACCUGCCCUUGACUCUGGGAUAAGCCUGGGAAACUGGGUCUAAUACUGGAUAUGACAUGCCACUGCAUGGUGGUGUGUGGAAAGGGUUUUACUGGUUUUGGAUGGGCUCACGGCCUAUCAGCUUGUUGGUGGGGUAAUGGCCUACCAAGGCGACGACGGGUAGCCGGCCUGAGAGGGUGACCGGCCGCACUGGGACUGAGACACGGCCCAGACUCCUACGGGAGGCAGCAGUGGGGAAUAUUGCACAAUGGGCGGAAGCCUGAUGCAGCGACGCCGCGUGAGGGAUGACGGCCUUCGGGUUGUAAACCUCUUUCAGCACGGAAGAAGCGAGAGUGACGGUACGUGCAGAAGAAGCGCCGGCUAACUACGUG